CAAUAUAAGGAGCAAUUCGCUUGAGAUGCGCCCCGCGGCGCUUUAGCUUAGUUGGUGAUGGUAACGUUUCAUCAAGGCGACGAACGCGUAGCUGACCUGAGAGGGUAAUCGGCCACAUUGCGAUGUAGUCACGGCCCCGACUCCUACGAGUGGCAGCAGUGGGGAAUAUUGCACAAUCGGGGAAACCGUGAUGCAGCAACGCCGCGUGAGUGAUGACGGCUUUCGGGUUGUAAAGCUCUGUUCUUCAGGGAAGAUAAUGACGGUAGCCAAGAAGGAAGCCCCGGCUAACUACGUGCCAGCAGCCGCGGUAAUACGUAGGGGGCAAGCGUUGUCCUGAAUGAUUGGGCGUAAAGGGCUCGUAGGCGGCUAAUCAAGUCUGGAGUGAAAGUCCUGCUUUUAAGGUGGGAAUUGCUUUGGAAACUGAAUAGCUUGAGUGUAGGAGAGGUUAGUGGAAUUCCCAGUGUAGCGGUGAAAUGCGUAGAGAUUGGGAGGAACACCAGUGGCGAAGGCGACUAACUGGACUAUAACUGACGCUGAGGAGCGAAAGUGUGGGUAGCAAACAGGAUUAGAUACCCUGGUAGUCCACGCCGUAAACGUUGGGCACUAGAAUGUGGGGCCUUUCGCAUGGGUUCUGCGCCGUAGCUAACGCA
rnacentral:rRNA from 1 species